rnacentral:rRNA from 1 species
UACGUAGGGGGCAAGCGUUGUCCGGAAUCACUGGGCGUAAAGCGCACGUAGGCGGAUUGUUAAGUCAGGGGUGAAAUCCUGGAGCUCAACUCCAGAACUGCCUUUGAUACUGGCGAUCUUGAGUCCGGGAGAGGUGAGUGGAACUCCGAGUGUAGAGGUGAAAUUCGUAGAUAUUCGGAAGAACACCAGUGGCGAAGGCGGCUCACUGGCCCGGUACUGACGCUGAUGUGCGAAAGCGUGGGGAGCAACAGG